rnacentral:pre_miRNA from 1 species
GUAGUACUCCCUCCGUCCCAAAAUUGUUGUCUAACAUUUGUCUAGAUACGGAUGCAUCUAAUACUAAAACGUGACUCGAUACAUCUGUAUUUAUACAAAUUUAAGACAAGAAUUUUGGGACGGAGGGAGUAGUAC